GCUUGGUUUUGGUUUGCUCAUUUUUUUUUAUUCUUCUUCUUUUUACCAAGCUUUUUGUUAGUGUAAAAUGAGUAAAAAAG
rnacentral:ribozyme from 1 species